UGUUUAUUGCUUUCAGGAGUUGCAGUCUUCAAUCUUUGUCUCCACCGUCUGAUUUUCUUGAACAGAAAUUGAGCCAAAAUACUCAUGAUGAAUAUCAAUUGUAUCAGUGCAAAAGUGCCCAUCCAGAAGCAAGGACCAGGAAAGCAAAAUAGGAAAAGGAAGGUGGAUGAAGGAGAACGGUAUGCAGUGUAAUUGGGCCUUCAGAUGAGAGAAGAACCAGACGUAUGCAUGAACCUAUCGCCGUCCGCAAUCUGCAUGCAGAUGCAGAGGAUUAAUCGCGGACGAGGCCUUACCUGAGGAAUCAUCGACCAAGCCCCCAUGGAUAAACAUCUCGGGGAUCCUCUCGAGGACCGGGAAGCGGAGGCUCCCUCUCUCCAUCGCGCUCCAAUGAGCGAGAGAAAGAGAGGGAGAGAUUGAAGAGAGGAGAAUGGAGGGAGGGAGGCGGUGGUGGUGAACUGGUGACGGUGAUAUAGUAGAGGUGGAGACUGGAGACGCCUGACGGAGACGGUGACACCCCUGAUGGUUGCGCUUUUGGCGUAUCAUGGUGCCCGCAGAUCCCGAUCAUGCAGUUUUCACCGGGCGCGCCCGGCACCGCCCGUGGAAAAAAACGCCGCUGCCUGUGUCCCAUCAGUUGGCCUGGUGCUCGGCAGUACUAGUAUUUUACUUCUGCUAAAAAAUUCCUUGAUAACGAUCUUCUAAUAAUUUGUUUUCGAAUGUGCAGACAAACUCUCAGUUGGAUUGCACAUUUGUGCAUAAUCAAUUAGUUCAGCAAAUCAACACAA